rnacentral:ncRNA from 2 species
UGUUAUCACAGGGGGAGCCUCUUGGCUGAGAGGGAACAUGCCGUUCCGACCCUUUGAACCUGUUAGUUAACGCUAGCGUAGGGAUUGUGUAGAACGAGAAUA